CCAAGCGCGGGUGGCUGGAACACUGAAUUUGGGGAAGAACCUGCAGGGUGAUCGAGUCGCCUGCGCUUGUGGACACCGGCCAUGCUCGACACACACUGAGCGGACGUUGCCCGGGCGCAAGUCGCAUUAGCCAUGGGCAACUUCCAGCUGGAAGACUUCGCGGCGGGCUGGAUCGGAGGUGCAGCCAGUGUCAUUGUUGGCUACCCUCUGGACACAGUCAAGACUCGCCUGCAGGCUGGUGUUGGCUAUGGGAACACAUUCAACUGUAUCCGCAUGGUGUACAAGAGGGAGAGUGUGUUUGGCUUCUUCAAGGGCAUGUCCUUCCCCCUGGCCAGCGUUGCCGUCUACAACUCGGUGGUGUUCGGGGUCUUCAGUAACACGGAACGGUUCCUCAGCCGGCACCGCUGUGAGGAGCCUGAGACCGGCCCUGGCCGAAGUCUGUCUGACCUCCUCCUGGCCAGCAUGGUGGCCGGUGUGAUCUCUGUUGGGCUGGGCGGUCCCGUGGACCUCAUCAAGAUCCGACUGCAGAUGCAAACACAGCCGUUUCGGGAAGCCAACCAUGGGUUGAAGACCAGGGCAGUGGCUCUAGGGGAGCAGGCAGCAUACCAGGGACCAAUACACUGCAUCGCAACCAUUGUGCGGACCGAGGGCCUGGCAGGACUAUACCGGGGAGCCAGUGCCAUGCUGCUGAGGGACAUCCCAGGAUAUUGCCUCUACUUUAUUCCCUAUGUGUUCCUGAGUGAAUGGAUCACACCCGAGGCCUGCACAGGGCCCAGCCCCUAUGCUGUGUGGCUGGCAGGUGGCAUUGCAGGAAGGACUGCAGAGGCCUGUGAAGCAGUUGCUGUCCCACAGAUAAAUGUUGCCACAUGUGGAGCCUCACUGUGGCCUGGUCUCACCUUCCACGCAACCACAGGCAUCUGUUCACACGUCUUCACAGCUGCCUCACGAACACAGCACUUCAGCCCCAGUCCACAGAGCAGGGGCAAUUUCCUGGGGGACAGCAACUCCGAUGGAUGUCGUGAAAAGUCGACUCCAAGCUGAUGGGGUCUAUUUAAACAGAUACAGUGGAGUCCUGGACUGUAUCUCCCAGAGUUACCGUCAAGAAGGCUUGAAGGCCAAACUGUCCUGUGGCUGCCAGUGUCCCCUGAAACUGGACGAAUAUACAGGCUGGCUGCCUCUUUCUGAAAAUGACCCACUCUGUCUUUGCCAUGAUUCUGUGUGAGAGACAGUUCACGUGCCUGGCAGCUCUCAGAUCGUGCUUGGGGGAGGGUUUACCUCUUGACUGUGUGCAAGUUCCAGAGAAGACCGUAAGGAGCAGCUCCCUCCCCGCUUCCCUAGCCCCUCUCUGUCCCCGUCAUCGCCUGGUAAUAUUGUCAUUGCUCCAGAAUGUUCUUAGCUCACCUAAGAGGGUAUAGGCCGCCCACCGGACACCAGGCAGAAAGAUGCAGGGAGUCAGGAGCUCAUGAGAGCCCUGCCAUAGCAUUGCCCAGAAACAGGUGACAGCUCGUGACAGAGGCAGAGGCUGCUAGCCACUUCUCCAUUCAGACUGCUACCUCAGCCUCCACAGGUGAUGGCUGUUGAGGAUGAGGAUGGCAGUCAGUCACUGGGUACCUGCUGCUUCAGUGGGCACUAGGAGAAGCUUAAGAAGCAUUGUCUGGGUUGUUCCCUGGAUCUCCCAUUAGUAGCCCAACAUUGCCACUAUAAUUAGAGAUGCUGUCACCCACCCAUGCUGUGACCCUAUCCAUGGCCUGCGACUUUAAGCAUUGUCCUGCGUCUGUACUGUACCACUUGGGGAUGCUGUAGGAAGCACCUGUUGCUAUCACUGAGUGGGGCUGAGUGCUUUAUAUCGAGAUUCCAGAACCCUGGGGUGGGGGGCAGGAAAGAGACAGAGAACAAACACAGGUGCAUCCCACCACACCAGCUCAGAAUUGCUUGGAUCUCAGCUUGCUGAAGCCUUAUGUAUAGCAGAGCCCAUGAUGACAAGUGCCAUCACAGGUACUAUGGGUUGGGGACAGGCCAGAGGCUGCCCGCCCGCAUAGAGAUCUUUUGGGCUCUGGUCAGGCUAGGGCUGGGCUGCAGUGCAUUUGCAGUCUUUUCCCUCACCGUCAGAAGAGUGUGGGUCGGCACUGUAGAGGGCUAGCCCUGGAGUAACUACCC